GAUGAACGCUGGCGGCGUGCCUAAUACAUGCAAGUCGAGCGAACAGACGAGGAGCUUGCUCCUCUGACGUUAGCGGCGGACGGGUGAGUAACACGUGGAUAACCUACCUAUAAGACUGGGAUAACUUCGGGAAACCGGAGCUAAUACCGGAUAAUAUAUUGAACCGCAUGGUUCAAUAGUGAAAGACGGUUUUGCUGUCACUUAUAGAUGGAUCCGCGCCGCAUUAGCUAGUUGGUAAGGUAACGGCUUACCAAGGCAACGAUGCGUAGCCGACCUGAGAGGGUGAUCGGCCACACUGGAACUGAGACACGGUCCAGACUCCUACGGGAGGCAGCAGUAGGGAAUCUUCCGCAAUGGGCGAAAGCUUGACGGAGCAACGCCGCGUGAGUGAUGAAGGUCUUCGGAUCGUAAAACUCUGUUAUUAGGGGAGAACAAAUGUGUAAGUAACUAUGCACGUCUUGACGGUACCUAAGCAGAAAGCCACGGCUAACUACGU
rnacentral:rRNA from 1 species